GAUGAACGCUGGCGGCGUGCCUAAUACAUGCAAGUCGAGCGAACAGACGAGGAGCUUGCUCCUCUGACGUUAGCGGCGGACGGGUGAGUAACACGUGGAUAACCUACCUAUAAGACUGGGAUAACUUCGGGAAACCGGAGCUAAUACCGGAUAAUAUAUUGAACCGCAUGGUUCAAUAGUGAAAGACGGUUUUGCUGUCACUUAUAGAUGGAUCCGCGCCGCAUUAGCUAGUUGGUAAGGUAACGGCUUACCAAGGCAACGAAGCGUAGCCGACCUGAGAGGGUGAUCGGCACCACUGGAACUGGGACACGGUCCAGACUCCUACGGGAGGCAGCAGAAGGGAAUCUUCCGCAAUGGGCGAAAGCCUGACGGAGCAACGCCGCGUGAGUGAUGAAGGUCUUCGGAUCGUAAAACUCUGUUAUUAGGGAAGAACAAAUGUGUAAGUAACUAUGCACGUCUUGACGGUACCUAAUCAGAAAGCCACGGCUAACUACGUG
rnacentral:rRNA from 1 species